AGGGUUUGAUCAUGGCUCAGUUGAACGCUGGCGGCAUGCUUUACACAUGCAAGUCGGACGGCAGCAUAGGAGAGCUUGCUCGAAGAUGGUGAGAGUGGCGCACGGGUGCGUAACGCGUGAGCAACCUACCUCUAUCAGGGGGAUAGCCUCUCGAAAGAGAGAUUAACACCGCAUAACAUCAACAGUUCGCAUGUUCGGUUGAUUAAAUAUUUAUAGGAUAGAGAUGGGCUCGCGUGACAUUAGCUAGUUGGUAGGGUAACGGCUUACCAAGGCGACGAUGUCUAGGGGCUCUGAGAGGAGAAUCCCCCACACUGGUACUGAGACACGGACCAGACUCCUACGGGAGGCAGCAGUAAGGAAUAUUGGUCAAUGGGCGGAAGCCUGAACCAGCCAUGCCGCGUGCAGGAUGACUGCCCUAUGGGUUGUAAACUGCUUUUGUCCAGGAAUAAACCUAAAUACGAGUAUUUAGCUGAAUGUACUGGAAGAAUAAGGAUCGGCUAACUCCGUGCCAGCCGCCGCGGUAAUAC
rnacentral:rRNA from 1 species